GACCUUGCGAUUGCUGUACCGGCUCAUAGCAUGUUUAAUUAUCUGCGCGCUAUUGAUGGAGAAGUUGUAAUUAUGAACCGGGAUGUUACUUGCAUGCAG